UACGUAGGGUGCGAGCGUUAAUCGGAAUUAUUGGGCGUAAAGAGCUCGUAGGCGGUCUGUCGCGUCGGCUGUGAAAUCUCGGGGCUCAACCCCGAGCCUGCAGUCGAUACGGGCAGACUUGAGUGCUGUAGGGGAGACUGGAAUUCCUGGUGUAGCGGUGAAAUGCGCAGAUAUCAGGAGGAACACCGGUGGCGAAGGCGGGUCUCUGGGCAGUAACUGACGCUGAGGAGCGAAAGCGUGGGGAGCAAACAGG
rnacentral:rRNA from 1 species